CGGGGGGGGCAAGCGUUGUUCGGAAUUACUGGGCGUAAAGGGCUCGUAGGUGGCCAACUAAGUCGGACGUGAAAUCCCUCGGCUUAACCGGGGAACUGCGUCCGAUACUGGUUGGCUUGAGUUUGGGAGAGGGAUGCGGAAUUCCAGGUGUAGCGGUGAAAUGCGUAGAUAUCUGGAGGAACACCGGUGGCGAAGGCGGCAUCCUGGGCCAAUACUGACGCUGAGGAGCGAAAGCCAGGGGAGCAAACGGGAUUAGAUACCCCGGUAGUCCUGGCCCUAAACGAUGAAUGCUUGGUGUGGCGGGUAUCGAUCCCUGCCGUGCCGAAGCUAACGCAUUAAGCAUUCCGCCUGGGGAGUACGGUCGCAUGGCUG
rnacentral:rRNA from 1 species